GAGAGGAUGACAGAGAACAGUGGACACACAGUUUAACAUGAUGGACUAUAGGACAGGACUGCUGCUUUUAACUCUCUGCUGGGCAGGUGUUGAUGGUCAGAAUCUGAAGGAAUCUGAACCCGUGGCUAAAAGGCCUGGAGAAUCCCACAGACUGACCUGUACAGCCUCUGGAAUCAUAUGGCUCACAUUCAGCAGCUAUGCUAUGGCUUGGAUCAGACAGGCCCCUGGAAAAGGACUGGAGUGGAUCGCUUAUAUUGACACCUCUAGUUCUCCUAUCUAUUACUCCCAGUCAGUCCAGGGUAGAUUCACCAUCUCCAGAGAUGACUCCAGUGCCCACGUCUAUCUACAGAUGAACAGUUUGAAGACUGAGGACACAGCAGUGUAUUUCUGUGCCAGAAGACACACAGUCAGAGACAGUAAUAGGAGAGUCAUACAAAAACUACCUCCUCUUUUUUACCACCACCACUGGGAAUAUGAGCAGCUGCACAAGGGUUAAUACUUUUUCUUACAG